CCUGAGCCUGACUCCCUCAGGGCUUUUCCAGCUGCUGUAUCCCAGGAUGUUCUCACGAUUUGUGUUUAGACGUCAUUCUGGCGGAAGUUAUUGUAUGAAGACGAAAACAAGCAAGCUGGGUGCUACCUCGUGGCAUUUUUACAUUGAGAGAAACAUGAAUAUCUAGGUUAAAGUUGUUGAAAAUGUGUCCUGAAUUGGGUCUACCCAGGCAAAAUGAAGGUACCAGGAGCCUGUGAUGAAAAUCAGUCAUCUCAACUGGGAGUCGUUCCUUAUCAUUCAGCAGAGCCUGAUGUUAACAUUUCCUUCCCUGGAUUUGCUGGAAUCUGUGUGUUCCUUUCAAGUGAUGACAAACUAAUUGCACUGGCUUCCUGUCACCGUCACGAUCUUUCUGCAGUGACUGGAGGAGGUCAAUCUCUCUGACGAGCCAGAUUGCCA
rnacentral:lncRNA from 1 species